CCUACGGGUGGCAGCAGUCGAGAAUCAUUCACAAUGGGGGAAACCCUGAUGGUGCGACGCCGCGUGGGGGAAUGAAGGUCUUCGGAUUGUAAACCCCUGUCAUGUGGGAGCAAAUUAAAAAGAUAGUACCACAAGAGGAAGAGACGGCUAACUCUGUGCCAGCAGCCGCGGUAAUACAGAGGUCUCAAGCGUUGUUCGGAAUCACUGGGCGUAAAGCGUGCGUAGGCUGUUUCGUAAGUCGGGUGUGAAAGGUGCGGGCUCAACCCGCGGACGGCACAUGAUACUGCGAGACUAGAGUAAUGGAGGGGGAACCGGAAUUCUCGGUGUAGCAGUGAAAUGCGUAGAUAUCGAGAGGAACACUCGUGGCGAAGGCGGGUUCCUGGACAUUAACUGACGCUGAGGCACGAAGGCCAGGGGAGCGAAAGGGAUUAGAUACCCCAGUAGUC
rnacentral:rRNA from 1 species